rnacentral:tRNA from 1 species
GGCGAGCAUAGCUCAGAGGUAGAGCGCUGGUCUGUGGAUCCAAAGGUCGCGAGUUCGAAUCUCGCUGUUCGCC